UGGGCUUUAACUGACGCUGAGGCACGAAAGCGUGGGUAGCAAACAGGAUUAGAUACCCUGGUAGUCCACGCCGUAAACGAUGAUUACUAGGUGUGGGGGGACUGACCCCCUCCGUGCCGCAGUUAACACAAUAAGUAAUCCACCUGGGGAGUACGGCCGCAAGGUUGAAACUCAAAGGAAUUGACGGGGGCCCGCACAAGCAGUGGAGUAUGUGGUUUAAUUCGAAGCAACGCGAAGAACCUUACCAGGUCUUGACAUCCCGAUGACCGGUCUAGAGAUAGAUCUUUUCUUCGGAACAUUGGAGACAGGUGGUGCAUGGUUGUCGUCAGCUCGUGUCGUGAGAUGUUGGGUUAAGUCCCGCAACGAGCGCAACCCUUGCUAUUAGUUGCUACGCAAGAGCACUCUAAUAGGACUGCCGUUGACAAAACGGAGGAAGGUGGGGACGACGUCAAAUCAUCAUGCCCCUUAUGACCUGGGCUACACACGUACUACAAUGGUCGUCAACAGAGGGCGGCGACACCGCGAGGUGAAGCGAAUCCCAAAAAACGAUCUCAGUUCAGAUUGCAGGCUGAAACUCGCCUGUAUGAAGAUGGAAUUGCUA
rnacentral:rRNA from 1 species